UUUUUUCAAUUCCAGAGUUAUGUUCCGGCUCUUUAUGGGUAUGCCUCUUGGGACGCCUGACGAAAACAACAACAGCCAUGUAGGAGUUAUGUUCCGGCUCUUUAUGGGUAUGCCUCUUGGGACGCCUGACGAAAACAACAACAGCCAUGUAGGAGUUAUGUUCCGGCUCUUUAUGGGUAUGCCUCUUGGGACGCCUGACGAAAACAACAACAGCCAUGUAGGGUAAGUAAGAAUUUAUGACCUUUCCUCGUAAAAUAUAAAUUAGCAAAAAGGAUAUAUUGAUAUUGAUAUUUCGAUCACAGAUCUUCGUCGGAAUUGUUAACAAAAGACAGAAUAAGAAUACAUUUCUUGUCUGCUCCUUUCUUUAUCUCCUAUUUCACUAUUCGUUAUCACGAGCAAUUAAAUCUAAAGUACAUCCAUUUUUCAAAUCAUGAUAACUUUUAGUCGACAUACGAAUACAAGUAACUGAAAUUUGUUAAGCCUAAUUAACAAACUUCUUACAUUAGAAAAUACAAAUCAAAAUCCUAAAUUGGCGCACUGCAUUCUAACACUCAUCUACAUAAACGAGACAGGUACAUCCAGUGACACACAUCCAUACACUUACAUAAUAGGCCAAGACGAUACAUUCGAGUUCAGUUCCGGUCUGCGUUUUCUAAUCAAAAUAGACUCUGCGAUUUUGCGAUCUGGGUGAUCCGUUGCCCUAUAU